rnacentral:rRNA from 1 species
AUUGAACGCUGGCGGAAUGCUUUACACAUGCAAGUCGAACGGCAGCACGGGUGCUUGCACCUGGUGGCGAGUGGCGAACGGGUGAGUAAUAUAUCGGAACGUAUCCAAUAAUGGGGGAUAACUAGCCGAAAGGUUAGCUAAUACCGCAUACGCCCUGAGGGGGAAAGCUGGGGAUCGUAAGACCUAGCGUUUAUGGAGCGGCCGAUAUCUGAUUAGCUAGUUGGUGGGGUAAGAGCCUACCAAGGCGACGAUCAGUAGCUGGUCUGAGAGGACGACCAGCCACACUGGAACUGAGACACGGUCCAGACUCCUACGGGAGGCAGCAGUGGGGAAUGUUGGACAAUGGGUGCAACCCUGAUCCAGCCAUCCGCGUGAGUGAAGAAGGCCUUCGGGUUGUAAAGCUCUUUCGCAAGGGAAGAAAACUCGAUCUCUAAUAUAGGUUGAGGCUGACGGUACCUUGAUAAGAAGCACCGGCUAACUACGUGCCAGCCGCCGCUGUAA